rnacentral:rRNA from 1 species
CCUACGGGAGGCAGCAGUGGGGAAUAUUGCACAAUGGGCGAAAGCCUGAUGCAGCAACGCCGCGUGAAGGAAGAAGGCUUUCGGGUCGUAAACUUCUGUCCUCGGGGAAGAAGAACUGACGGUACCCAAGGAGGAAGCCCCGGCAAACCACGCCCCAGCAGCCGCGGUAAUACGUGGGGGGCAAGCGUUAUCCGGGAUAAUUGGGCGAAAAGAGUACGUAGGGGGCAACCUAAGCGCAGGGUUAACGGCAAUGGCUAAACCAUUGAUCGCCCUGCGAACUGGGAGGCUUGAGUGCAGGAGAGGAAAGCGGAAUUCCUAGUGUAGCGGUGAAAUGCGUAGAUAUUAGGAGGAACACCAGUGGCGAAGGCGGCUUUCUGGACUGUAACUGACGCUGAGGUACGAAAGCGUGGGGAGCAAACAGGAUUAGAUACCCUGGUAGUC